GACGAACGCUGGCGGCGUGCUUAACACAUGCAAGUCGAACGGAAAGGCCCUGCUUUUGUGGGGUGCUCGAGUGGCGAACGGGUGAGUAACACGUGAGUAACCUGCCCUUGACUUUGGGAUAACUUCAGGAAACUGGGGCUAAUACCGGAUAGGAGCUCCUGCUGCAUGGUGGGGGUUGGAAAGUUUCGGCGGUUGGGGAUGGACUCGCGGCUUAUCAGCUUGUUGGUGGGGUAGUGGCUUACCAAGGCUUUGACGGGUAGCCGGCCUGAGAGGGUGACCGGCCACAUUGAGACUGAGAUACGGCCCAGAAUCCUACGGGAGGCAGCAGUGGGGAAUAUUGCACAAUGGGCGGAAGCCUGAUGCAGCAACGCCGCGUGCGGGAUAACGGCCUUCGGGUUGUAAACCGCUUUCGCCUGUGACGAAGCGUGAGUGACGGUAAUGGGUAAAGAAGCACCGGCUAACUACGUG
rnacentral:rRNA from 1 species